rnacentral:rRNA from 1 species
UACGGAGGGGGCUAGCGUUGUUCGGAAUCAUUGGGCGUAAAGGGCGCGUAGGCGGCCACGCAAGUCGGAUGUGAAAUCCCUCGGCUCAACCGAGGAACUGCACCCGAAACUGCGAGGCUCGAGUCCUGGAGAGGAGACUGGAAUUCAUGGUGUAGCAGUGAAAUGCGUAGAGAUCAUGAGGAAGACCAGUGGCGAAGGCGGGUCUCUGGACAGUUCCUGACACUGAGGCAAGCGGAAGGACCAGGGGGAGCAAAACCGGGG